rnacentral:lncRNA from 13 species
GGCAAAUAAAGCAGUCUAUUUAUCUGGAAAUAUGCCUUUUAUGAAUAAGAGUAACAAUUUCAGAGACCUAUGAAAAUGUCACAAAGAGGAAGAGGAAACUGAGGCUCAGAAAAGUGAAGAGACUUUCCCAAGAUAACAUGUUUGAGAAGGAUCUCAAACUUUGGGAGCCAAUCCCAAGCAGCCUGGCUGCACUCAAGAACUCACUGCCUUGUUGAAGAGGCAAGAUACAUAUUCAAGAAAAAUACGAUGAAUAACAAAGCUCAUCUUUCCCCUCAUUCAGACAGCAACUGACUGGCAAGGCAUCUCUGCCCAAGAAAGAGUUGACACAGAAGAGUAGACAUAAUAAAGUAGUCCGAUUCCUGGCUCA